GAUGAACGCUGGCGGCGUGCCUAAUACAUGCAAGUCGAACGAAACUUCUUUAUCACCGAGUGCUUGCACUCACCGAUAAAGAGUUGAGUGGCGAACGGGUGAGUAACACGUGGGCAACCUGCCCAAAAGAGGGGGAUAACACUUUGAAACAGGUGCUAAUACCGCAUAACCAUAGUUACCGCAUGGUAACUAUGUAAAAGGUGGCUAUACUACCGCUUUUGGAUGGUCCCGCGGCGCAUUAGCUAGUUGGUAGGGUAAAGGCUUACCAAGGCAACGAUGCGUAGCCGAAUUGAGAGGUUGAUCGGCCACAUUGGGACUGAGACACGGCCCAAACUCCUACGGGAGGCAGCAGUAGGGAAUAUUCCACAAUGGGCGCAAGCCUGAUGGAGCAACGCCGCGUGGGUGAAGAAGGUCUUCGGAUCGUAAAACCCUGUUGUUAGAGAAGAAAGUGCGUGAGAGUAACUGUUCACGUUUCGACGGUAUCUAACCAGAAAGCAACGGCUAACUACGUG
rnacentral:rRNA from 1 species